UAAUACAUGUGGUGCAAGCGUUGUUCGGAAUUACUGGGCAUAAAGGGUGCGUAGGCGGCGUCGUCAGUCUGGGGUGAAAUCCUGCGGCCCAACCGUGGGACUGCCUCGGAUACUGCGAUGCUCGAGUGCGUGAGGGGUGAUCGGAACGCGUGGUGUAGCGGUGAAAUGCGUAGAUAUCACGCGGAAGGCCAACGGCGAAGGCAGAUCACUGGCGCGCAACUGACGCUGAGUGCACGAAAGCGUGGGGAGCAAACAGG
rnacentral:rRNA from 1 species